GGGGAGGGGGUUAAUGUCUUUCAGGGUUGAUGAACCUAAAUAGCUCUUGGUUAGAAUGAGCUAUUUGAAAAAAGCCCACCUGCAAAACAAAAAGUAAGUCAUUUGCUUUGUGAGCUGUCUCCGUGCCGACUUGACGGUUAGAAUGAGCUAUUUGAAACAAGCCCACCUGCAGACAAAAUAAUGGUAGGGUAGUGCAUUAUAAUGGCUUCAGUUUGCUGCAGCGUCAGACUGAUGUGGUUCUGCUCCCUGGUGAUGUGGCUGGGAGCGUUCCUUGUGAUGAACUGUACGAUCAUAUCUGAGAUGUUAAAAUACCGGGCUAAUGGUAAGACAUUAAAGGUUUGUGAUAGCACAUCCACACUUCUUCCUCUUGGCUUGGUGCUUCAUCCAUCUCCUCUUGCUUCAUCAUUUUCUUAGAGGUAUUUCUUUGGCUUUUCACCAUUCGGACACGAUCUGAGCUUUUAAAGAGGGGAUCGGGUAUGAAAGGGAGGGGGCUGUGGGAACUGCCGGGCUAACACAAAAGGAUUACACUCAGUCAUUUUCUUAACUAUGAAAGGGAGGGGCUGUGGGAACUACGGGGCUAACACAAAAGGAAACUUCACGCGCCAUUACACCCAUUAGGCUAAGGAAGGGGGGCCAAGGCCAUCUGGUCAUUGAACAAUACACCUGUCCAUUUGAUUGAUUCAUCAUUUUCUUAGAGGUAUUUCUUUGGCUUUUCACCAUUCGGACACGAUCUGAGCUUUUAAAGAGGAGAUCAGGGUAUGAAAGGGAGGGGCUGUGGGCACUGCGGGGCUAACACAAAAGGAUUACACUCAGUCAUUUUCUUAACUAUGAAAGGGAGGGGCUGUGGGAACUACGGGGCUAACACUAGGGCUGCAACAAAUGAUUAUUUGGAUAAUCGAUGAAUCGGAUGGGGUCUCGACAUGAUUAAUCGAUUAAUCGGAUUACAUGGGGAAAUUUUUAAAAACUGCUAGGGAAACGUUAUUUCUCUCCUUCCUUCACUUUAUUUAACACAACAUUAUUAGAAAACAGUUCAAUAGCAGAAAAACAACAUGCCAUCACCUAAAUUGUCUUAUAAGGUGUAUAGACAGAGACCCUAAGCUACAUCUAUCUGUGACCUAAAAUGCUUGGUCCAAGUUAAACAGCUUAAGGGCAAUUCUCAUCUGUUUUGUUUGAUCUCAUCUGUUGACAUUUAUUAUAACUGGGGAUGUCAAACAACUAAUUUUUAAAUGUAAUUAAACAUUGGCUGUGAAUUAAUCAAAAUUAAUCACUAUUUCCAAAAAUGACUGAAAAAAUACCAAAUAAAACAAAAGUAAAUGAAUGCCAUCCUCCUUGUGAUGAUGCCCUGGGUAACUGCCAUAAAGUCACAUCAAGAAAUGCUGCUGAUCAUUCCAAUGAUCCCAAAUAGACUCACAUUAGGCCACAUGAAAGCAACUGAACCCAAAAAUAUAUUAACCAGUAUAUAACUGCACUCUCACACAACACGCCUGCAGCAACAGUUAGGACUCCUCCCUCCCUUUUAAAAGCGUUUUUGCUUCCGAGGACAUUGUGGUUGUAAAACCACAUGCUAGUGGUCUGGCCCCGGUGUGAUCAACCAGUUUCUGUGGGAAUGUGAUGGCGGAACCAGGGCCAGAUUAACACUUUGUUGUACCCUGGGCAACAAUAUUCAAGGGCUCCAUCAUCACGACCCAAGGAUCACCAUAAUGUGGUCACAUACAGAAUAUUUUACUGUAAUAUGCAGUAAAUAUACUCAAUACUUGAAUGCCUGACAACACGUAACCCGCCCAGAGUAACCUUUGACCCACCUCGUGUGGACUGACCAAUGAGGAGAGGGUCUUAACUUGAGGCCCUCUCUUCAUUGGUCAGUCUGUAUGAGACUGACCCUCAACUGACGUUCAGUCAUAGGCAGCGAAGCGUCUCUGUGCAGCGCAAAAGCCCGGGUGGACAGUUUGUUUAAUAGGGUGACCAUAUUUCCAUUUCCAAACAAGAGGACAGGGGAUCUGUGCCUAUGACGUCACACCAUGGCAAUGCCACACAAACCAUGUUGGGACCCAUUUUUUGUAAGAACUAAAUUGAUAUCAGAUUCUGCCAAUAAAAGGGCUCUAAAACAAUUCAUAUGUAAAUAUUUUGCAUAGUUAAUGCAAAAUCUCAUUUUUCUUCUUUAGUGCUGCAACAAGGUUUUAUUAAUAAUAAAUUAUUAUACCUUUUGUUUUACUACAGCAUUGGUAAGCUUCCUGUGCACAGAUUAUUAAGGAUGCUUUUUCAGCUGUGAGAUUAGACGAUAGGAUCAAUGAAAAAAUAAGUUGUCACACACUCCAUGGAAACUUUCAGAGAAUCCACAAAUAGUGGCUUUCACAUGGUUUUGUUACUUUUUGCAAGUUUAGAAAUGAAGCAGAUGAGACAGCAUGUCUGAUAAUUUAGUUUUUCAUCUGAUAAUAUUAGAACAUGUCAGUAAUGCCUGAGGGUUUUUUAUAAACACUGUAUAACUAACACUCCUGGAGAGGGUAUAAAUUACACAGAGGCUUCUG